rnacentral:lncRNA from 13 species
AUAGAUAACGCAGUGUUGAGAAAACAUGAUAAUAACAUAUCAGUUGUACAAGAGACAAAUGCUUCCGUAAAAACAUCCAACGUUACAGAUAUCUUUACAGACAUAAAUCACACAUUUUUUUACAACUGAUGAAAAAAUGAAUUAUUUAAUUGGACCUGUAGAAAUCAAAAUUAAUGACAAAAAGGAAGAUAAUAUUGCUGAUCUACUUCCAAUUAAAGACUUAGAACAACUGGAAAACUUUGAAAAAGAAUUACAAAAUAAGGAAAUUUAUAAUCAAAUGGUAACUAAAUUAUAGUAUCGAGGAGGAAAAAAUGUUGAUGAAAUUGUGAACAAAAUAAUGAGUCUAAUUUUUACUAAUUCUUUAGCGCGUAGCUAUAACUAUUUUG